rnacentral:tRNA from 1 species
UGGUUAAUAGUUUACUUAUUAUGCUAGCUUUUCGUGUUAGAGACAGUGUUAUUCACUAAACAGGA